UAGAUACUCAGAACCUGGACCUCACC
rnacentral:piRNA from 1 species